rnacentral:rRNA from 1 species
AGAGUUUGAUCCUGGCUCAGGACGAACGCUGGCGGCGUGCCUAAUACAUGCAAGUAGAACGCUGAAGAGAGGAGCUUGCUCUUCUUGGAUGAGUUGCGAACGGGUGAGUAACGCGUAGGUAACCUGCCUUGUAGCGGGGGAUAACUAUUGGAAACGAUAGCUAAUACCGCAUAACAAUAGGUGACACAUGUCAUUUAUUUGAAAGGGGCAAUUGCUCCACUACAAGAUGGACCUGCGUUGUAUUAGCUAGUAGGUGAGGUAACGGCUCACCUAGGCGACGAUACAUAGCCGACCUGAGAGGGUGAUCGGCCACACUGGGACUGAGACACGGCCCAGACUCCUACGGGAGGCAGCAGUAGGGAAUCUUCGGCAAUGGGGGCAACCCUGACCGAGCAACGCCGCGUGAGUGAAGAAGGUUUUCGGAUCGUAAAGCUCUGUUGUAAGUCAAGAACGAGUGUGAGAGUGGAAAGUUCACACUGUGACGGUAGCUUACCAGAAAGGGACGGCUAACUACGUGCCAGCAGCCGCGGUAAUACGUAGGUCCCGAGCGUUGUCCGGAUUUAUUGGGCGUAAAGCGAGCGCAGGCGGUUUGAUAAGUCUGAAGUUAAAGGCUGUGGCUCAACCAUAGUUCGCUUUGGAAACUGUCAAACUUGAGUGCAGAAGGGGAGAGUGGAAUUCCAUGUGUAGCGGUGAAAUGCGUAGAUAUAUGGAGGAACACCGGUGGCGAAAGCGGCUCUCUGGUCUGUAACUGACGCUGAGGCUCGAAAGCGUGGGGAGCGAACAGGAUUAGAUACCCUGGUAGUCCACGCCGUAAACGAUGAGUGCUAGGUGUUGGAUCCUUUCCGGGAUUCAGUGCCGCAGCUAACGCAUUAAGCACUCCGCCUGGGGAGUACGACCGCAAGGUUGAAACUCAAAGGAAUUGACGGGGGCCCGCACAAGCGGUGGAGCAUGUGGUUUAAUUCGAAGCAACGCGAAGAACCUUA